rnacentral:lncRNA from 1 species
AGAAAACCCGUCAUCGGUUAGGAUGAACGUAUCAAAGAUUAAAUCUCUGAGGAAUGAAAUAGGGAUUACAACUACCUUUUUACUGGGUAGAAAACCAAAGGGGAGAAUAUACGUCAUCGGUUAAGAUGAACAUAUCAAGGAUAUACUCAAGGGAAGAGUAUCCAUCAUCGUUUAGGAUGAACAUAUCAAGGAUAUACUACCUGGGGAAACGUAAAACGAAUCCGUCGGGAAAAAAUAAGAGGAAGAAG